UGACUGCGUACCUUUUGUAUAAUGGGUCAGCGACUUAUAUUCUGUAGCAAGGUUAACCGAAUAGGGGAGCCGGAGGGAAACCGAGUCUUAAUUGGGCGUUAAGUUGCAGGGUAUAGACCCGAAACCCGGUGAUCUAGCCAUGGGCAGGUUGAAGGUUGGGUAACACUAACUGGAGGACCGAACCGACUAAUGUUGAAAAAUUAGCGGAUGACCUGUGGCUGGGGGUGAAAGGCCAAUCAAACCGGGAGAUAGCUGGUUCUCCCCGAAAGCUAUUUAGGUAGCGCCUCGUGAAUUCAUCUCCGGGGGUAGAGCACUGUUUCGGCUAGGGGGCCAUCCCGGCUUACCAACCCGAUGCAAACUGCGAAUACCGGAGAAUGUUAUCACGGGAGACACACGGCGGGUGCUAACGUCCGUCGUGAAGAGGGAAACAACCCAGACCGCCAGCUAAGGUCCCAAAGUCAUGGUUAAGUGGGAAACGAUGUGGGAAGGCCCAGACAGCCAGGAUGUUGGCUUAGAAGCAGCCAUCAUUUAAAGAAAGCGUAAUAGCUCACUGGUCGAGUCGGCCUGCGCGGAAGAUGUAACGGGGCUAAACCAUGCACCGAAGCUGCGGCAGCGAACGUAUCACCCAAGACAACUUUGCGGAGUUGACGAUUGACGGAGCGAAGCGACGUCAAAGCGUUCAUUAAAGUCGAGUUGGCUUAGGGAUACGUUCGUUGGGUAGGGGAGCGUUCUGUAAGCCUGUGAAGGUAUGCUGUGAGGCAUGCUGGAGGUAUCAGAAGUGCGAAUGCUGACAUAAGUAACGAUAAAGCGGGUGAAAAGCCCGCUCGCCGGAAGACCAAGGGUUCCUGUCCAACGUUAAUCGGGGCAGGGUGAGUCGACCCCUAAGGCGAGGCCGAAAGGCGUAGUCGAUGGGAAACGGGUUAAUAUUCCCGUACUUGGUGUUACUGCGAAGGGGGGACGGAGAAGGCUAUGUUGGCCGGGCGACGGUU
rnacentral:rRNA from 1 species